UUUGUCUGGAGAUCUGAUGUUUUUUGUACAUUGUUGUGGCUGAAAACCUGAAACGAUUUGUGUAACUGAUAGUCUGUUGCUUUACUUCUACACUGCUUAAUUAACCUGCGAUUAAUUUUGAUAUUUGAUUUUUGGCAAGAAUCAUCGGACUAUAGAUUAUUGAUCAUGCAUGAAACGUUUUAAAGGAAGCGAAUCUACAUUUGCAUGCUCGGUUUGAAGACUUGCCAGCUGGGUGAAGAAGCUUUCUGACAAACAUCCAAAUCACUCUAAUAGGCCCAAGUUGAGCAUAUGUUAGAUGGUCUGGAUGACAUGGAUGGUGCCGAGGAUGUCCCUUUUGAUGAGCUCAUAGGCAUGCAAGGCUUAGUAUUUCACUUGGUUGAGAAUGCAAUUACAAUAUGUAUUACAUACAAGUCUGAUGGAUUCAAGAGAAUGAAGAGUAAAUAAUACUAUACUAUAAAUACGUCAACUACAGAUAACCCUCCCAACUACAAUGUUGCACCUGACAACCUCCUACUCAACGAGGCCAAGCUAUCUGCAGGGGACCAUGCCCCUGGACGUUCCUAAGAGGUGUGCUGCUAGAUGACCUUCUUGCUGCUGAAACAACAAAUGCUUGUAACUGCAGCUCCUGCUAACAUGCAAGCUGGAUGAGCACCGGGCAUAUUUGCUACGAUGAUGAACAAACAUGCAAAUGACUGCAGAAACAACAGCUGAUGGAGCUGUGGUUCUUGGAAACCCAGUUGCUCCUCCUGUUAAUGGGGAUGUGUAUGCGGAUAUCAGCCCUGAGAAUGUUGUGGUCCAGUGACACCGAGAAGAUAGUGCAAAUGUGCUAAUUAUUUGGUUGAAGCAUCUGCUGCAGAGGUUGAGGUAAUUAGUGCUACUUUAGCUGCUAUAAAGGCCAGACAAGUUGGAGAUGAGAUGAGCAUUUUAUCAUAUUGCUUUGCCUGUAAUAACCAAAAUUGAUUGAUUUAGUUUCACACAACAUAGAUAAUUAUAUCGUCAGGUUCAAUUUUACUUAUGAAAGUUGAACAUUUCUUAUCUUGUUAGAUUUCCUCUUUGUAAGUUCUAGGACUUUAGUUAAUUGAAUAUCUUAAGGCAUGCAUGCCAGAACUUUCCAGAUGGUAACACUUGAUGCAAUUCUGUUCCUACUAUUCUUACCUGAUACUACCUGGACGACC